AAUCAUCAAAAGUCCUUCUCAAAAUAACAAAAGAACAUAUAAAUAGUAAACCCUAAAAGUAAACCCUAAAACAUCCUGCUAUUUGGGCUCGGCCCAUCAAAUCGAAUUGUUUAACAUAAAUAACAAUGAGCAGGCCCAGGUGGGCUAAAUAAAAUAAAUAACAAUAAGCAGACCCAAACGGGAUAAAUAAAAUAACAAUGAAAUAGGCCCACAUGGGCUUAGUCCCCCAACCAAAGCGUGACAGGCUGGGCCAUCCUGCGCCGUCUCCGUCCAUAUACUCGUGUAAUCUGUGGUGUGGGCCUGGUGUCCCCACCAACUCUCCCGGGGUUGGAAAAAACUCGACCCCGUCGAGUGUAGCAUUGGCCGACUCUGAUAGUACUCCCAAAGAUCUGGGUCAAGCUGCUGCAAAGUAUCUCUAGUAAUUCAAGUGCAGUCUGAGUCAGGCCGACCCACCCAACGAACUAGAAACCGUUGAACCUCACCAUUCCUGUUAAAAACAACUUGUUCAUCCAGAAUAGCAUCAAUAUUAUCCUUUUGUGCUGAUGUCAAGGUGAAAGGGAUAGAGGGCUCAAUAGUAUCAUCAGUAGGGGAGUUAAGUGGUAUCUCAAAUGGGUUAUUUGGAAUUGGAAGUGGUUUGUGGUAUGCAACUAGAUCCUCAAUGUUAAAUGUAGAGCUAAUACCAAAAUCAUGUGGUAAAUCAAGAACAUAAGCAUUUGUACCAACCCGUUGUAGCACUUUGAAAGGCCCAGCACUACGUGCAUGCAAUUUUCGAUUAGCUCCCGAAGGAAAUCGUUCGGGUCUAAUCCUUAUCAUAACAUAGUCUCCAACAUUAAACUCAUUAUGUCGUCUAUGUAAAUCAGCUUGAAGUUUAUAUUGCGCAUUACUUGCUUGAAUCUGUUUAGUGAUCUCAAUAUGCAAAUCCUGAAUUCUACGUGCAAAAGAUUCAGCUGACUCAGACACCCUAGCAUUAAGGGACAUGGGAAGAAGAUCUAAAGGCUUCCUAGGCUUGUAACCAUGUACAACUUCAAAGGGACUCAUGCCUAUUGACCUAUUGAUAGAGCUAUUAUAGGCAAACUGGGCUGUAGGAAGAAUCAGAUCCCAAUUCCGAUUAUGAUCACUCACUAGACACCUUAAGAGGUUUCCUAAACUUCUGUUAACCACCUCAGUUUGACCAUCAGUUUGGGGGUGGUAAGCAGUAGAAAACUUCAAUUUGGUUCCUACCAUAUGCCAAAGGGUUUUCUAGAAAUAACUUGUAAAUCUAACAUCCCUAUCCGAGACUAUGGUUUGGGGAAGGCCAUGCAACUUGACAAUCUCGUCAAAAUAGAGUUUUGCAACUCUGGAAGCAUCUGUGGUCUUAGUGCAAGGAAUAAAAUGGGUCAUCUUAGAGAAUCGGUCAACAACCACAAAAAUAGAAUCAUGUUUCUUUGUAGUACGUGGAAGUCCAAGCACAAAAUCCAUACUUACAUCUUGCCAAGGACAAGUAGGAACGGGCAAUGGGGUGUAAAGACCAGUAUUUUGUUUUCUAUGUUUAGCUAGUUGGCAAGUUCGACACUGACUUACCAAUUUUGCAACAUCUCUUUUCAAACUAGACCAAAAAAACUGGCGUUCUACCUCUUCUAUGGUUUUAUUCCUCCCAAAAUGCCCUGAGAGACCUCCAGCAUGAAUCUCCCAUAUCAAAAAAUCACGCACAGACGUUUUCGGGAUACAAAGUUUAUUAUCCCGAAAUAAGUAUCCAUUGUGGAAGUGAUAACCAUUUAUUACACGGUGAUUCUCAUCCUUUAAUGUCAAGUAUAUUUCUCCAAAUUCUGAACAAGACUCAUAUUCCUCUUUAAGUCUCUCAAAUCCUAUCACUUCAACACUCAUGACAGAUAACAACGUUACUCGACGACUCAAAGCAUCUGCAGCCUUAUUCUCUAUUCCAGAUUUAUGUUUCAAAACAAAUGAAUAUGCUUGCAAAUAUUCAACCCAAUGGCCAUGCCUAUGAUUAAGCUUCUUUUGGGAGUUAAGAUAGCGGAGGGCCUCAUGAUCGGAGUAUAGAACAAACUCCUGUGGCAACAAGUAAUGUCGCCAAUAGCGCAAGGCCUGAACCACCACAUAAAACUCCUUAUCAUAAGUUGAGUACUUUUGUUUGGCCUCAUUAAGUUUCUCACUAAAGUAGGCUACAAGGUGACGUUCUUGACUAAGUACUCCACCUAUACCAACUCCCGAAGCAUCACAUUCUACUUCAAACACUUUAGUAAAAUCAGGUAGCCGCAUUACUAGGGCCUCCGUCAUUUUUUUCUUAACUUCCUCAAAUGCCCUAUUAGCUCCUUUACUCCACUUAAACUCACCUUGUUUCAAACAAUCUGUAAUAGGUGACAUGAUAGUGCUAAAUCCCUUAAUAAAACGACGAUAGAAAGUCGCAAGCCCAUGAAAACUAUGAACCUCAUGAAUAGUCUUAGGUUCAGGCCAAUCUACUAUCGCUUGGACUUUCUGGGGGUCAGCAGAGACUCCUUUCCAUGACACUAUAAACCCUAAAAAGAUCACUUGAUCUGUAAAGAAGGAACACUUUUUGACAUUUGCAAACAAACUUGCCUUUCUUAGGGUGGUACAAACCUGAAUAAGAUGAUCGAAAUGUUCUUCCUUUGUUUUGCUAUAAAUAAGAAUAUCAUCAAAGUAUACCACCAAGAAUUUUCCCAUAAAUGGCCGAAGCACUUGUGUCAUUACUCUCAUAAAAGUGCUUGGUGCAUUGGACAGGCCAAAAGGCAUGACUAGCCAUUCAUAUAAACCAUCUUUAGUCUUAAAUGCUGUUUUCCACUCAUCUCCAGGACGGAUACUAAUCUGAUGAUACCCGCUCUUUAAGUCAAUCUUAGAAAAGAUUUGGGCUCCUGCCAUCAUAUCUAGCAUGUCAUCCAAUCUAGGAAUUGGAAAACGAUACUUGAUUGUAAUCCUAUUUAUGGCUCGACUAUCAACACACAUUCUCCAUGAUCCAUCUUUCUUGGGUGUUAACAGUGCAGGUACUGCACAAUACUUGCCUUUGCAAUUCAGCAUGUUCACUUGGGUUCAUCCUAUAAUGAGGCAAGUUUGGUAAUGUGGCCCCAUGGACAAAAUCUAUGGCGUGUUGAACAUCACGCAUAGGGGGCAAAGCAUCAGGUAGUUCAGAAGGGAAAACAUCUAGAAAUUCUUUCAACACUUCUCUUACCUCUUCAGGUGGCUCUUCUAAAAAGUCUUCUACAAUCUCUUUAGCCACUACAAAAGAUAACGAUAACAAGGUAUUGAACAAACACUGAGACAAAUGAAAGAAACACAGUGAAUGAACACAGGGAAUCCAAGAUGAAAAUAAAAAUUCCAAAACAAGCAUUAAAGGUACCAUACAUGGUUGUAGAAUAUUACAGAGAGUUCAAAAUUCCAAAACAAGCUUUCCGAAACAAUAAGCUGUAAGGCUUAAGAUCUCUAUGAAGCAGCCUCUCUAUCACUAGAAGCAGAACAGAAGUGAUGCGGAACAAUAAAGAAUAAGAAUUAAAACAGGAAAAGAAAUAAGCUUUAGGGAAAUAAAGAAGCUAGAGAAGAGGAAGAAAGGGGAUUGGAGAUAUGCAAAAUUCUGCAAUUUUCAUUAAUCAUCAAAAGUCCCUCUCAAAAUAACAAAAGAACAUAUAAAUAGUAAACCCUAAAAGUAAACCCUAAAACAUCCUGCUAUUUGGGCUCGGCCCAUCAAAUCGAAUUGUUUAACAUAAAUAACAAUGAGCAGGCCCAGGUGGGCUAAAUAAAUAAAUAACAAUAAGCAGACCCAAACGGGAUAAAUAAAAUAACAAUGAAAUAGGCCCACAUGGGCUUAGUCCCCCAACCAAAGCGUGACAGGCUGGGCCAUCCUGCGCCGUCUCCGUCCAUAUACUUGUGUAUCUUAUGGAAUUUCUCGAUUUGAAAUUUCAGCUUGGCCAUUUGUUUGAGGAUGGUAUGCUGUGGAAGUCCGAUGAGUCACAUGAUAUUUGCGUAACAAUGCUUCCAUUGAACGAUUGCAAAAAUGAGUACCACGAUCACUAAUGAUAGCUUUAGGGAUUCCAAACCUGUCAAAUAUAUGAG
rnacentral:lncRNA from 1 species